rnacentral:tRNA from 1 species
AUCCUUUUAGUAUAGUAAUACAAGUGACUUCCAAUCACUAAACCCUGACUUAAACUCAGGAAGGGAUA